rnacentral:rRNA from 1 species
UGGUGGAGUGAUUUGUCUGGUUAAUUCCGUUAACGAACGAGACCUUGACCUGCUAACAUAGUCAGUCUGUCUACCAACGGACUGUACUUCUUAGAGGGACUAUGGGUUACAAGCCCAUGGAAGUUUGAGGCAAUAACA